CAGUAGUUCAACUACAAGUGUUUUUACACUCCCCAGAAGAAGCUUUCAAAGCAUUCUGUAUUGUACGGUCUCACUGACCCUACAGGCAUCUGAGGAAAUUUCUCUCGCUGUAAAGAGCUUUUUCUCUCGCCGUUAAACAAAGACCUUCAAGAGCUAAUCCUCUAGUCCAACUCACAGUCUAGGUUCCUGAGGAAAGGGUCGUCUAUAGAAACCUCUGAAUCUCGUUCUAUAAUGUGUCAAAGGGAGUCUGGCUUCUGUCGUUUUCUUCGUUUGACCUCUGUCUGGAAAGCGUCACCAGCUAACGGCCGCGUCUCUGCGAUACCUAGGUCGAAGGGUGCUUUUGUUUCGGAAGUAAGUGCGUGCUUGUUUAGUGCCCAGCCGCUUUCUUUUUUGGUGCCGAGCGCGCAACGAGACUGAGGGACUUACGGUAGCGCGGCACAGUCGGUACCCCGGUGAAAAGUCACUUUGUCGCCACAGAAACGAGGGUUUUUCUGCUUGCCACUUUCGGAGAAGUUCGACCGGGGAGAAGGCUUGGCAAUACAAAGAAGGUUUCUCGUCCUGCGUCAAUUUCAGAUUUUGCGAAGAGAUUGUUAGGUUUUAGGUUGCAAGCAAAUACUCUGCAUUCGACUCGAGUUCAAGUCGAGUACAAAGGAGCUGCAUUCCGUGACAGGAUGUUUCGUGGAGGCUUCUGUGGAGGUGGCAUAAUGUGUUUUGAUGAGGGUUGUAACAUCUGUAGAAUCCCAUAAAGUGGAGCCAUACAAGUUGGAAACAGGUGCCAGGCCGCCAACAACUCGGUUUGCCGAAGUGAGUACCGUUUUAUUUGUACAUCUUGUGUCCGGAUGUCAGUUUUUCAAAGGCAGCCUCAUAUCUGGAGUUACACACAGUAUCCCACGUACUGCAGUAUCUCUGUUUGUUCAAUUCGAGUUACAUCAAUGUGGACACACAACCGCAUCGAAUAUAGCGGAAUGCUCUGAAUGUGAUAUGAACGAAGUUAGGAGCUGCGCGGAACGGCGUUUUCCGUCUGUAAAUUGUGAUCGGGGGAGUGUUUCUCGGCUUGCUCUGACGGAGAUUGCAGAAAUUCAUCUUCCCUUCUGUGAUAGCUGCUGAUGUCGUUGACCAGUCGUUUCGCUAGCAAGGUUUCGAGAAAACUCAGCAUAUCUGUGCGUCGAUUCCGGGCGUGGUGCUUAGCGUAUUUUAUCGGUGUGUUGAAAAUAUGAGCUCUCACGAAACACGCAAGGGAGGCGCUCGGAAAAGUACAUUUAACCUGUGACGGUCAGCUUGUACCAGAAAACAAACUUUUCACCUUUUGUGUGUUUGUGUAGAAAUUACUCUGGGGAUGACAAAAAACGGACACAGACCUCGCCAGCGAAAACGACAAGACAUGGGUCGGUUUCGAGGCUUUCUACUGAAAUCGAAAAGUAUGUUUGUGCGGGGAAGUGGCACUGUGAAUCGCCAAUUCAUCGUGCGCUUGUUUUUAUGCG
rnacentral:lncRNA from 1 species